CCUACGGGCGGCAGCAGUGAGGAAUAUUGGUCAAUGGACGAGAGUCUGAACCAGCCAAGUAGCGUGAAGGAUGACUGCCCUAUGGGUUGUAAACUUCUUUUAUAUGGGAAUAAAACGUUCCACGUGUGGGAUUUUGUAUGUACCAUAUGAAUAAGGAUCGGCUAACUCCGUGCCAGCAGCCGCGGUAAUACGGAGGAUCCGAGCGUUAUCCGGAUUUAUUGGGUUUAAAGGGAGCGUAGGUGGAUUGUUAAGUCAGUUGUGAAAGUUUGGGGCUCAACCGUAAAAUUGCAGUUGAAACUGGCAGUCUUGAGUACAGUAGAGGUGGGCGGAAUUCGUGGUGUAGCGGUGAAAUGCUUAGAUAUCACGAAGAACUCCGAUUGCGAAGGCAGUUCACUGGACUGCAACUGACACUGAGGCUCGAAAGUGUGGGUAUCAAACAGGAUUAGAUACCCCAGUAGUC
rnacentral:rRNA from 1 species